GGUCUCUCCCGAAGUCGUAAGAGGUGUCGAGUCAUGAUGUCUGCAACCUACGCUCAAAUGACUUAUCCAAAAAAAACCACAUUUGUGUACUUUGAGAGGCAGCAGUAAAACAAAUGUGACAAAAUGCUAAUCACUGGAGAAACUCUGUGGGGUAUAUAGGCCUACGAUGACUUGUCAGUUUUACCUAGUUAAGUGGACAUCGACUCCAACCGAAUUGAGAAUCUGAACCAAACUGAGAGGCGCUCUUUCCUGCAUCGAGAACCUCCAUCUCGUCAUCUCCUCCAGGAAGUUUCCCUUGCAGUGAAGGACUGGGCAGUGAUAUCCACCUGAAAGUCAAGGGGAGUGGGAGGAACUUUCUGGCCGCGACAGUGACUGCAGAGCAACUGAGGUCCAAGAUGGCAGAGGCAGCCCUGUGGUGACGGCAUGCAGGGUCCUGUACUGGGAUCACAACUGGACUGCUGUUUUCAACCAAGAUCCAAGAGCCUCGACUGAGAUGACACCAUAUGUGGAAGUCUUAUGGGAGAUCAGAAAACUUGUCUAGUUCUUUCCUUGAUUCCUCAGAGUUACACAACCCUUCUACAAUAUGUGCUCAUAUAUAAUAUAUGCUCCAUUAAUGAUU